rnacentral:rRNA from 1 species
AUUGAACGCUGGCGGCAGGCCUAACACAUGCAAGUCGAACGAGUGGCGGACGGGUGAGUAAUGUCUGGGAAACUGCCUGAUGGAGGGGGAUAACCACUGGAAACGGUAGCUAAUACCGCAUACCCGUGGAUGCGCCCAGAUGGGAUGAGCUAGUAGGUGGGGUAAAGGCUCUCCUAGGCGACGAUCCCUAGCUGGUCUGAGAGGAUGACCAGCCACACGGGAACGGAGACACGGUCCAGACUCCUACGGGAGGCAGCGGUGGGGAAUAUUGCACAAUGUGCGAAAGCCUGAUGCAGCCAUGCCGCGUGUAUGAAGAAGGCCUUCGGGUUGUAAAGUACUGUCAGCGGGGAGGCGGUACCCGCAGAAGAAGCACCGGCUAAAUCCGUGCCAGCAGCCGCGGUAAUAC